GAUGAGAACUGACGAAACUACCAGGACAGCAAUAAAGAUGAGGAAGCAGAAGGGUCCAAGAGCCAUCUGGAGAUAAAAAUAGAGACUGGACUUUCCUGACACACAGAAGACAAAUAGAAAAUAGGACCAGAAGGAGCAGCACAAGUACCGUAAUCCAAGAACUCUUGCUACAGCUUUUCCUAGUGCAAGAAACACCGAGGAGGUCACAUUUACAAAGCCACGCAUCUUCUUAGGUGAGAUCUCUCCUGCAUACUGAACAUGGGCAUUCAGAUAUAUUCCUAAAAAGAAGACAAAGGAGAACUGAAGUUACAGAAAACGAGAGAGUCCCUUUUCAUUUCACCUGCUCCACAUAAAGACUGCUUGAUUCCCUAUGCUGCAAUCUUCAAAGAUUCUGCUGCUGUCAGUGGCUGGGCUAGAAGACAAGAUGUUGGAUACUCACCAGCUCUGAGAGGAAACCAGCCAUCUCCUCUUGAAUACCUGCCUGCUCUGGGAGCCCUUGUCAAGUCAGUCGGAUGAGUGAUGUUUCCUAUGCUUAGAUUAUAACAAGUUGGGAUCAUAGCACCGAAGUUAAAUUCUAACUACGUGGCUUCUAGUGAAUUAUGUCCUCCUCCAUCACUGGCCAGGAUCUCUUCUUGCUGGUUUAAUAAUUCCAAGACUCAGAUAUGCCACGUUGAUUACAACAUCAGUAAAUGUUUAUCUUUGUAUUGGGAGUGCUCCCCUUUACUUGCAUUGCUAAAACGAAUGUGGGUUUCUGCUUGGUGGGGAUCAGGUGUUGGCGUCUUUCCUUCAGGACAGCAGGUUCUCUAGGCAGGGAUUUCCUCCUCUCCACUCUACUACAAAGUUAACCCACUUAGUACGGCAGCUGGGCCGUGCUGCCUGAUUUCCUGCGUGCUGUAAGAUUUUCAGUCAGUGAAAGUGAUUUGAGCAGCUUCCCAGUGCAGGACAUAAAGUAUUUGAAUAUUGGCAUGGAGGAGGAGCCUUGGUCCUUGCUAACACCCAGAUGGCCUUGCUUUUUCCAGAGCUACACAGAAACCUCUCUAUUCCCACUUUGUAACAGUGGACGUGGCCUGGUGUGUGCCUGUUCUGGUUUGGGAGUUGAUUUUAAGAAAAUUUUUCACUUUGAAAAGAUUGUUUUGAACAAAAGGCUUUCUCCUUCAGGCUUCUACUCAUAUUCUACACUAAAUACAGCUCCACAUUUAGCAAUGCAUUGGUAGUGCCUUGAGGGGAGGUGGGAAGGGGAGGCUGUGGCUUUAAAGGAGACAGGAGCUUUGCUCAGGAGCACGGUGGAAGGGUUGCAUCCAUCCCAAAGUUUGCCUUUUCCCUGACAGUGUCUGGUAGCUCGGCAGCACUGAGCCUGCUGUGUUAUGCUGACAUCCCAAUCACUCCGUCUCCACACCUUCUUGCCUGGGAGUCUUGUAGCACAUCAGUGCACUGGAAGAAUUUAAGCUGACUUCUUCUUUCCACAUCAUGAGAUCUUCAUUACUUUCACAUCAGCUGUAGUUAUGCAUUUUCCUUCACCUUCUCCUCUUAGCAUGGGCUCCUCAAAUGUUCUUGGUUGUAAAACCCCAGAAUCCACCCUUCUCUUCCAUUAUUAUUGCCGGGCUCUCUGUCUUUAUUUAGAUUUUCUUGUGCUUCUUACAAAUUCUUAUUCUCAAACUCCAGUCACAUUCACACGGCCCUCCUUCAGCUGAUGAUUUUUGCUGCCACAGAGAAGUGCAGUCAGAUGGCACAGCUGCCCACUGGCCUCUCCGAUCCCCUUCUGGAAGGGAUGCAGAUCCACCUCCUAGCAUCACACCAGGACUGUACCCAGCAGAGUAUCCCAGGUCUGGCAGGCACAGAUUACAGCAUCUGGUUGAGCUAACUGUCCCCAGCAGAGCCUUGUCCUUCUUCCUCUCACUGUCUGUAUUUCUUUCAGAAUACUCAUGCAAUUGUCAUUUCCAUCUGUCCCCUCACAUUUGUGCAGUGCUUUAAUAUGGAAAAAGCAAGACUUCAAUGUCUAGUAUAGCUCCUACUCAUUUUCCUAUGGAAGAAGGAAUGAGCCUUUUCACCUAAGAUUAGUUCUUGUUCCAGACUUGAUAUACUUCUGUGAUCCUAGAAAUCAAAUAGAUACAGUGCUGAUUCACAAGCACUCAUUUAACCUUUAUUCACCAUACAAGCUAGUUCAAGGCAUCAUUAAUAAUUAACCAUGCUUCCCCUUGUACCGACAGUACUUAAUAGUAGGGGGGAAGAAGGGGAAAAGUCAGGCAUGGUGAGCAAGAUCGCACUGUAGAAAGAUGCAUGUGAGAAAUGAGUUUUCAGUCUCUUUUAGAACACAAAAACACUCCUUGUCGCAAACCAGUAAGGCUGAGAAA